rnacentral:rRNA from 1 species
UACGAAGGAUGCAAGCGUUAUCCGGAUUUAUUGGGUUUAAAGGGAGCGUAGGCGGUCUUAUAAGUCAGUGGUGAAAUCUUGUCGCUUAACGACAAACGUGCCAUUGAUACUGUAGGACUUGAGUACAGAUGCCGUUGGCGGAAUGUGUCAUGUAGCGGUGAAAUGCAUAGAUAUGACACAGAACACCGAUUGCGAAGGCAGCUGACGAAACUGUAACUGACGCUGAGGCUCGAAAGCGCGGGGAUCAAACAGG